ensembl:snRNA U6 U6 spliceosomal RNA
GAAUGAUUAAGUGUUCGUUUCAACAGCACAAACAAGGAAGAUUAUCACGGCCCCUGAGCAAGGAUGACAUAGAAAUUCAUGACAUAGUCCCCAUUUUA